UAGAGUUUGAUUCCCUGUUCAGAUUGAACGCUGGCGGCAUGCCUUACACAUGCAAGUCGAACGGUAACAGGUCUUCGGACGCUGACGAGUGGCGAACGGGUGAGUAAUACAUCGGAACGUGCCCAGUCGUGGGGGAUAACUACUCGAAAGAGUAGCUAAUACCGCAUACGAUCUGAGGAUGAAAGCGGGGGACCUUCGGGCCUCGCGCGAUUGGAGCGGCCGAUGGCAGAUUAGGUAGUUGGUGGGAUAAAAGCUUACCAAGCCGACGAUCUGUAGCUGGUCUGAGAGGACGACCAGCCACACUGGGACUGAGACACGGCCCAGACUCCUACGGGAGGCAGCAGUGGGGAAUUUUGGACAAUGGGCGAAAGCCUGAUCCAGCAAUGCCGCGUGCAGGAUGAAGGCCUUCGGGUUGUAAACUGCUUUUGUACGGAACGAAAAAGCUCCUUCUAAUACAGGGGCCCAUGCGGACCGAA
rnacentral:rRNA from 1 species